GGGGCAGAAGGCAAGGUGAAACCCUAGUUUCACCAACUUCAUCAAAUUCAGUAGGAAUCUCAAUGAAAAUCGGAUGCAUGAACCUCAAUUUGCAAACAUCUAACCUUGUUCAGUAAAGUGGUAUGACAUAGAUGGGAAACAACGGGUCACAAGGAUAGCAUGGAAGACAACACCUCUAUGGAAAAAGGUAAAUCCUCAAUUUAGGCGACUUGGAGAAUCGGA
rnacentral:lncRNA from 1 species